rnacentral:rRNA from 2 species
AAGCUUGCUUUCUUUGCUGACGAGCGGCGGACGGGUGAGUAAUGCCUGGGAAUAUGCCUUGAUGUGGGGGAUAACCAUUGGAAACGAUGGCUAAUACCGCAUAAUGCCUACGGGCCAAAGAGGGGGAUCUUCGGACCUCUCGCGUCAAGAUUAGCCCAGGUGGGAUUAGCUAGUUGGUGAGGUAAUGGCUCACCAAGGCGACGAUCCCUAGCUGGUCUGAGAGGAUGAUCAGCCACACUGGAACUGAGACACGGUCCAGACUCCUACGGGAGGCAGCAGUGGGGAAUAUUGCACAAUGGGCGCAAGCCUGAUGCAGCCAUGCCGCGUGUGUGAAGAAGGCCUUCGGGUUGUAAAGCACUUUCAGUCGUGAGGAAGGUAGUUGCGUUAAUAGCGUAAUUAUUUGACGUUAGCGACAGAAGAAGCACCGGCUAACUCCGUGCCAGCAGCCGCGGUAAUACGGAGGGUGCGAGCGUUAAUCGGAAUUACUGGGCGUAAAGCGCAUGCAGGUGGUUUGUUAAGUCAGAUGUGAAAGCCCGGGGCUCAACCUCGGAAUUGCAUUUGAAACUGGCAGACUAGAGUACUGUAGAGGGGGGUAGAAUUUCAGGUGUAGCGGUGAAAUGCGUAGAGAUCUGAAGGAAUACCGGUGGCGAAGGCGGCCCCCUGGACAGAUACUGACACUCAGAUGCGAAAGCGUGGGGAGCAAACAGGAUUAGAUACCCUGGUAGUCCACGCCGUAAACGAUGUCUACUUGGAGGUUGUGGCCUUGAGCCGUGGCUUUCGGAGCUAACGCGUUAAGUAGACCGCCUGGGGAGUACGGUCGCAAGAUUAAAACUCAAAUGAAUUGACGGGGGCCCGCACAAGCGGUGGAGCAUGUGGUUUAAUUCGAUGCAACGCGAAGAACCUUACCUACUCUUGACAUCCAGAGAAGCCAGCGGAGACGCAGGUGUGCCUUCGGGAACUCUGAGACAGGUGCUGCAUGGCUGUCGUCAGCUCGUGUUGUGAAAUGUUGGGUUAAGUCCCGCAACGAGCGCAACCCUUAUCCUUGUUUGCCAGCGAGUAAUGUCGGGAACUCCAGGGAGACUGCCGGUGAUAAACCGGAGGAAGGUGGGGACGACGUCAAGUCAUCAUGGCCCUUACGAGUAGGGCUACACACGUGCUACAAUGGCGCAUACAGAGGGCUGCCAACCAGCGAUGGUGAGCGAAUCCCAAAAAGUGCGUCGUAGUCCGGAUUGGAGUCUGCAACUCGACUCCAUGAAGUCGGAAUCGCUAGUAAUCGUGGAUCAGAAUGCCACGGUGAAUACGUUCCCGGGCCUUGUACACACCGCCCGUCACACCAUGGGAGUGGGCUGCAAAAGAAGUGGGUAGUUUAACCUUUCGAGGAGGACGCU